CAUCUAGCCUUCCACCAUCCCGUUGGUUUGGUUUUUUGUCUCACCUCGCACUGUCCGCCAAACCAGCCGCCCGCCGCCGCUAUCUUCCUCCUCUCCCGAUUCCUCCAAAGCAGCCGCCGGCCUCCAACCCCACCGCCCACCUCGUCUCCCCCAAUCCCGGCCUCCGCCCUCUACUCCUCUGCCGGCGCCCCCUUCCCUCCCCUCCCAUUCUCUCCCCGUACGAGCUUCGGCCGCAGCAAGAUCUGCCACGGUCGCACCGCUGCUUCCGCAUCUGUGCCAUCCUCCCGCAUCCUCACCAUCUCCCGCCCUCACGUCCAAUCCGGAUGCCACACCCCUCGCCACUACGUGAAUCCCCUCUCGCUACUGCGUGAAUCCCCUCCGCCAGAUCUUGUGGUCCUCGCCAUCACGCGGGGGGUUUGGGUCGCCAUGAGGAGACGCGGGAGAAGUUCUGUAGGAGCAUCGUCACCAAAGGCACCUGCAAUGUCUCAGGGAGAACAAGAACGUCGCCGACAGUUUUGAUCGAUUGUACGAUUCCUAUAUCAGCACCUAGCCCACCCAUCUAAUCUGCACCUACAUGCAAGCCGUGUAUUCGCUUUAACAAGGAGGGUACUCUGUUGGCUGUCUCUACUGUUGAUACUUGAUAAUGGUACCAAAGUUUUAGCAAAUGCCGAUGGUCUUCGGUUAUUGCGCACACUGGAAGAUCGUUCUAUCGAUGCUUCUCGUAGUGCAUCUGACACUGUAACAAAGCCUCUAAUAAAUCCACUGACUGCUGGUGCCGUGGAAGCCGCCGCCGCCGGUGCAACCAGUUCUGAACUGCUGCUCCAUCAGCUAUAACUGCAAUGAAACUUGGUUGAUGUAAAACCUGGAAUAGCUGAUGAGUCAAUGCAUAAGUCAAAGGUCUGGAAGCUUGUGGAGAUAACUGAUACAGCUCAGUGCAGAUCAUUAAAACUGGGUGAUAGUAUUAACACAGCUAAGUUUGAUGUUUUUCAGGAAUGAAUUCCACCCGUUAUUCAAUACUACUAUGAGAAAAGUAGGGAAAUGCUCACCCUCUGCUAAAUGUACUGGUUCGUCUCGCGGUCUCACCCCCAAAAACAGAGGAGAGGAGAAGGGAGCUCCUCUCUCACACUCGUCGGCUCCAAGGAGCCCCGCCGCCAUGCAUGGUGGAGAGGAGCAGGGAGCUCCGCCGCCACGUAAGGCAAACCAAGUCUGCAACGUUUGAAUAUUAUACUCAGUCAGUUGCUCGACUACUUACAGUCCUAUUACUUGAGACUUAUACUUGGUUAGCUGUCGUGUACAUUAUUCUGACAUAAAUGACACCAUGUCUAUGUGCAAGUCAGAAGGACCUGACCAUCUAAAAAGAUGUCAAAUUAGUGUGGUACAUGCUUCAGUACUGCAAGUUGGAGUAGCAAGGAGAGAUCUUGUAAGAACAUAAGUGCCUUAGAAGAAAAGAAAAAGGUUUGAUCAAUGGAUGCAACCCAUGGGGGCAUGGAGAUGAUGGCAAGGCAUCACGCUGCGCUGACAGCGAGGAAAGUAACUUGGAUGAAGGCAGCGGCAACGGGUGGUUGUCAAGGAAAGCGGCGUGGGGAUGGGGAAGGUGGGUGGUGAGGGAUGAUUGGGUGGUGAAUGGCAGCCGAGGAGACGGAGCGGCGGCGAGAUUGGACGAGCUCGCCUUCGGAGUGCGUGUGAGGCAAGAUUUCCUUCCCGGGUUGGCCGAGGGCCUCCUUGUGUAUUUAUUAUUUCCGGUAGAAGCAGUGAACAUGCAGGGUUAAAGCAUUUUCUUUUGCCGAGGGGGAGGGUAGAAAACAGAAAAGAUCAGAGGGGGGGAUUGGGAGGUCUGUGGUGGGAGGGGGUGGAAACCCGAGCAGACUGUCAUGAACUAAAGUUCAUUUGUUUACUGACAUGUUCAUAUUGUUUAUCCUUUUGUUAUUGAAUUUGGAAAUGUGUGUAAGGCUUCCAUAUCUUCAAAUUACGAAUACUGAGAAGUGCAAGCCUUUCUCUUCUAGAAAAUUAGGGAAUUGGCUCAUACACUAUUAAAUAAUUUGAUGCACUCUUUCUUAUUUUAAAUGGUCAGGAGGAACAAGUGAAGGCUUCUAUUUUGGACCAGUUCCUUUAUUGGAUAGUUUGAUAACAAUUUCUUAAUGAUUACUCAAACAUAUGAACGUUCUCCAUUAUUAGAUUAAAUCACUUCUGCAGCAUGCGACUGUAGUAAAUAAAAUUAUUCAGAUUCAAGCUAAAAAAAAUAUUUAGAUUCUACCAUGUAACCAAAUAAUGAUAUAUUUGUCUCUCCCAAGGUAGCUAUCCAGUUCUAGCGCAUGGGUUGAGGACUACAACUUUGCUACUGAACCACCAUGAGGAGGCCACCGUGGAGACGAACUAGGUUGUCGUUUAAGUUAACGCCCAGCUAUGACUAAUGUACACAUAUUUUAGUUAAGCAGGCCUUUGUUUCAGUUUGAUUUUCUCGUAUAUACACAAUAUAUUUUUUCCUUCACGUUUCUUGCAAGCACAUAGAUAUUAUAUUUCUUGCCGGCGAA